GAAAACAGGUUAGGAUGGAUAUGCUGACUGAAGCAGGAACACCGCGUGUGCACCCACGAUGAACCGCGUCAGUUUAAGCUGCAACAGAAGAAUCAUCAGAAGGACAAAAAGCAGAGACCACAGCAGAAACAGGACGACACGCAGAAUGUAAAAUAAAGUCAAGUCUGAAAAGGAGAGAAAGGAGAAUUUAAUAGGCAUGGACAGAAAAUGUCUUGGAAACAGACACAGACAAUGAAAAUGAGAAACAGCCAUCUGAGGAACUUGGAGAACGGAUGAGGACUUCUGACUGAGAAGACUGCUGGAAUAGAAAUACUGAAUUCAUACAGGUUGUAUAAUUAGGCUGCAAAUACUGUGUUUAAGUAUGUGGCAAAUUUCAAAGCAA